rnacentral:rRNA from 1 species
UACGGGGGGUGCGAGCGUUGUCCGGAAUCACUGGGCGUAAAGGGCGCGUAGGUGGCGUGAUAAGGGUGUGGUGAAAGCCCGGGGCUCAACCCCGGGUCGGCCAUGGCCGACUGUCAGGCUAGAGUGCUGUAGGGGCAGGCGGAAUUCCGGGUGUAGCGGUGGAAUGCGUAGAGAUCCGGAGGAAGACCGGUGGCGAAGGCGGUCUGCUGGGCAGUUGCUGGACACUGAGGCGCGACGAGCGUGGGAGCAA